UACGUAGGGGGCGAGCGUUGUCCGGAUUUAUUGGGCGUAAAGAGCUCGUAGGCGGUUCGAUAAGUCGGACGUGAAAUCUCCACGCUCAACGUGGAGGGGCCGUUCGAUACUGUCGUGACUCGAGUCCGGUAGGGGAGUGUGGAAUUCCCGGUGUAGCGGUGAAAUGCGCAGAGAUCGGGAGGAACACCCGUAGCGAAGGCGGCACUCUGGGCCGGUACUGACGCUGAGACACGAAAGCGUGGGGAGCGAACAGG
rnacentral:rRNA from 1 species